rnacentral:rRNA from 1 species
AUAAGCGCCGGUAAGGUGAUAUGAACCGUUAUAACCGGCGAUACCCGAAUGGGGAAACCCAGUGUGAUUCGUCACACUAUCAUUAACUGAAUCCAUAGGUUAAUGAGGCGAACCGGGGGAACUGAAACAUCUAAGUACCCCGAGGAAAAGAAAUCAACCGAGAUUCCCCCAGUAGCGGCGAGCGAACGGGGAGGAGCCCAGAGCCUGAAUCAGCAUGUGUGUUAGUGGAAGCGUCUGGAAAGGCGCGCGAUACAGGGUGACAGCCCCGUACACAAAAGCGCAUGUGCUGUGAGCUCGAUGAGUAGGGCGGGACACGUGGUAUCCUGUCUGAAUAUGGGGGGACCAUCCUCCAAGGCUAAAUACUCCUGACUGACCGAUAGUGAACCAGUACCGUGAGGGAAAGGCGAAAAGAACCCCGGCGAGGGGAGUGAAAAAGAACCUGAAACCGUGUACGUACAAGCAGUGGGAGCACCCUUUGGGUGUGACUGCGUACCUUUUGUAUAAUGGGUCAGCGACUUAUAUUCUGUAGCAAGGUUAACCGAAUAGGGGAGCCGGAGGGAAACCGAGUCUUAACCGGGCGUUAAGUUGCAGGGUAUAGACCCGAAACCCGGUGAUCUAGCCAUGGGCAGGUUGAAGGUUGGGUAACACUAACUGGAGGACCGAACCGACUAAUGUUGAAAAAUUAGCGGAUGACCUGUGGCUGGGGGUGAAAGGCCAAUCAAACCGGGAGAUAGCUGGUUCUCCCCGAAAGCUAUUUAGGUAGCGCCUCGUGAAUUCAUCUCCGGGGGUAGAGCACUGUUUCGGCUAGGGGGCCAUCCCGGCUUACCAACCCGAUGCAAACUGCGAAUACCGGAGAAUGUUAUCACGGGAGACACACGGCGGGUGCUAACGUCCGUCGUGAAGAGGGAAACAACCCAGACCGCCAGCUAAGGUCCCAAAGUCAUGGUUAAGUGGGAAACGAUGUGGGAAGGCCCAGACAGCCAGGAUGUUGGCUUAGAAGCAGCCAUCAUUUAAAGAAAGCGUAAUAGCUCACUGGUCGAGUCGGCCUGCGCGGAAGAUGUAACGGGGCUAAACCAUGCACCGAAGCUGCGG